rnacentral:rRNA from 1 species
GACGAACGCUGGCGGCGUGCUUAACACAUGCAAGUCGAACGGAAAGGCCCUUCGGGGUACUCUAGUGGCGAACGGGUGAGUAACACGUGGGUAAUCUGCCCUGCACUCUGGGAUAAGCCUGGGACACUGGGUCUAAUACCGAAUAAGACCACGCGCUACAGGACGUGUGGUGGAAAGCUUUUGCGGCGUGGGCUGGGCCCGUGGCCUAUGAGCUAGUUGGUGGGGAAAUGGCCUACCAAGGCGACGACGGGUAGCCGGCCCGAGAGGUUGAACGGCGACAAUGGGACUACGAUACGGAGCAGAAUGCUACGGGCGGCAGUGGUCGGGAAUAUUGCACAAUGGCGGCAAGUCUGAUGCAGCGACGCUGCGUGAGGGAUGCCGUCCUACGGGUUGUAAACAUAUUUCAAUAGGGCCGAAGCGCAAGUGACGGUACCUAAAGAAGAAGCCCCGGCCAACUACGUG